CAAAUCAGGUAGGACUACCCGCUGAACUUAAGCAUAUCAAUAAGCGGAGGAAAAGAAACUAACAAGGAUUCCCCUAGUAACUGCGAGUGAAGCGGGAAAAGCUCAAAUUUAAAAUCUGGCGGUCUUCGGCCGUCCGAGUUGUAAUCUGGAGAAGCGUUUUCCGCGCCGGACCGUGUACAAGUCUCUUGGAACAGAGCGUCAUAGAGGGUGAGAAUCCCGUCUUUGACACGGACUACCGGUGCUAUGUGAUGCGCUCUCGAUGAGUCGAGUUGUUUGGGAAUGCAGCUCAAAAUGGGUGGUAAAUUCCAUCUAAAGCUAAAUAUUGGCGAGAGACCGAUAGCGAACAAGUACCGUGAGGGAAAGAUGAAAAGCACUUUGGAAAGAGAGUUAAACAGUACGUGAAAUUGCUGAAAGGGAAACGAUUGAAGUCAGUCGCGUGUGCUAGAACUCAGCCUUGCUUUUGCUUGGUGCAUUUUCUAGUGUACGGGCCAGCAUCAGUUUUGGCCGCCGGAAAAAGGCCUUGGGAAUGUGGCACCUUCGGGUGUGUUAUAGCCCUUGGUUGUAUACGGUGGCUGGGACUGAGGAACAUAGCAUGCCUUUACGGCGGGGCUUCGGCCACCUUCAUGCUUUGGAUGCUGGCGUAAUGGCUUUAAACGACCCGUCUUGAAAC
rnacentral:rRNA from 1 species